rnacentral:lncRNA from 1 species
AUGGUUGUCAAGAGAAGCACAAAAAGCAUCCCAUUAGAACGGCUUCAGUCUUUUCUCUCUCUGAUUUCCUCUCCAGGUUCUCCCAACAGGACGAUAAACUCAUCUGGAAGGCAGAGGGCCUGCCCAUUCAUAAACCUGUUGAUGUGGUCCCCAGAGUACCAGUUUAAGAUGGCAAGACCAACACUGUUGAUUCUGGGGCCAGAACUGGGACAAGUCCUUGAUUUGUCUACACUAGCUGUAUACACCAUCUACCUCCUGAGAGGAUUCAUUUUUCUUCCUAUAUGCAGGUAUGAGACAGCACAACCCUUCCAUCACCCAACCCUGCAACUUGUGGAUUUAUUUGUAUGGAGCUCCAGCAUUGCCAGUGCCCCUCAUUGUCUGGAGUGCACGCCUGCCUGACCUCAGUAGACCCUUCAGGAAGUAUUCUAAGGGCUCACUGCUUGCUCCUUUCAGAAAGGGUGCAAGAGGAGAAAGAAGAAAUAGCCUGGCCAUCUUCCUGAAAUUUUCCCCAAAUGCUCAAUUCCCCGGGACCAGAGAGGAACCUCAGAUACAAAAUUGACAGUGCCAAUGGAAAUAAUCAAUAUCAACCUAUAAAGGAAUAGAAAAGUUUUAUUUGAACUAAACUGAGGACUAUAGGCCAGGAGCCAGCCUCUCAGCCCUGAGGAACUGUUCCAAAGAAGCAUGAUUUUCAGCAUAUUCUUACAUCUUAUCGGUCAAAGAACAUCAGACAUGACAGGGGUACAUUUCUUCAAAGUUUCAAGAAGGACAAGUCAGCACGUACCCAGUGAGUCCCUAAGGCCUUAGCACCAGAGGAGGGAGGCUUAUCAUUGAAGGAGCACUAGCAGUGACCUCCCAGGAAAAGAAGCAUUUAGCCUUUAUCUUUAAAACCAACAUUCUUUACUUCUGGCCCAUGCACCCUUUUCUUUACUGAUUAAAGCAGAUUACGAUGGAAGUUCGGUAAGCCACAAAGAGGCUGUUCUAGUUAGCAUGUUCAAGUUCAAGUUAAAUAUUGUCUAAGCCAGAAUGAUGUCCUCAUACCUCAGUAUGUGAAAUUUUCUUCCAUCAACAAGAAGCCUGAGGACAAAAUUUUAAAAGGGAAAUUCUGCAAAAAUUUGGGAUGGGGGAAAUGAAAGAGGAGAAUGGCUCUAUAUUAUAGGUCCUGGAAGAGGGGAGCUGGCCCCACACCCCAAAAUGGGUUUGUCUGGGCAAAUUACAAGAUAGGGAGGCUCCCCUAAUGUCCCCUCACCUACCCAAGUGUGUUGGGGAACCCCCAGAGGCCAUGCAGAUGCCGACAACCGUAGCCACAUGUAACAUGACCAGAACCCAUGUUAUACCAUAGUUUGGCUUCAUCAUAAUCCUGAAAGCAUGGCAAAAAUUCUAGGUAUCAAGAGAGUCUCCAAAACCAUGGCCUGAUCCUCAAUGGAAAGAUUCCCGGGAGUGAGUUUAUUUUCUCUUUCUCUCUCUCUCUCUCUCUCUCUUUUUUUUUUUUUUUUGCGUUUUAGAGCCACACCUGCAGCAUAUGGAGGUUCCCAGGCUAGGGGUUGAAUUGGAGCUACAGCUGCUGGCCUACAAUACACCACAGCCACAGCAAUGUGAGAUCCGAGCUAUGCCACAGCUUAUGGCAACUCCAGAUCCUUAACCAGUAAGCAAGGCCAGGGAUCACACCUGUGUCCUCAUGUAUACUGGUCGGGUUCAUUGCUGCUGAACCAUGAUGGGAACUCCAGUUCAGCCUUUUCUUGGGUAAACUAUGCAUUUUGUUAACACUUUUCCCAGAGAUGCUGUUCUUGGCUCUUAUGUAGCCUUUCUUUUGUUCAUCUAAAGCCUUCUCUGGAACCUCCCUGUUGUUUCCAGGGGCAUUUUUGCCAACUGCCUAGAGAAAUGUCACUUAAUGCCUGACUUUUGCUCAUUCUGCCUGUGUGUCCUCCAUUAUUUCCUCCAUCAGAAAACAAAACCAACCCACUUCCCAGCUUCCCCAGCAGUCAGGGUGGCCAUGGGACCCCUUUCUGUCCCCAAGGGGAGGUGGAAGCCUGUGGAGCGGACAUGCCUUGUUUUUUCUUGUUCUGCCCUGUUUCUCCUGCCUCAGGGCACUCACAGAGCUAGAAGUUACAUCUUGAAACCACAAGAAUGUAAGGUCACAC